GACGAACGCUGGCGGCGUGCUUAACACAUGCAAGUCGAACGAGUGGCGAACGGGUGAGUAAUACGUGAGUAACCUGCCCUCUUUUUGGGUUAAGGCUUGGAAACGGGGUCUAAUAACGGAUAAAGGGGGAUGGGCUCGCGGCGUGUCGGCUUGUUGGUGGGGUGAUGGCGUACCAAUGCGGUGACGGGUAGCCGGCCUGAGAGGGUGACCGGCCACAGUGGCACUGAGAUACGGCCCAGAGUCCGCCGGGAGGCAGAAUUGGGGGAUAUGGCACAAUGGGCGAAAGCCUGAUGCAGCGAGGCCGCGUGGGGGAUGCAGGCUUUCGGGUUGUAAAGUUCUGUAGCUACCGAAAGGGUAGGUGGAGAAGAAGCGCCGGCUAACUACGUGCCAGCAGCCGCGGUAAUUC
rnacentral:rRNA from 1 species